UCCUGAACUGAACCAACUGUGCUUGUGCCACUGUGAUAGGAAAAUCAGUUCUACUGGAGAAGCCACGAGCUGUAUAAAGGAUAAUAAUGAUGUUUCUUUCCCUCCAGGCUCCUCUCUCUGCAACCUCUCAGUUGGUCUGGUUCCCUUAUUCAGCUAUUGACCAUCUCCGGCAUGCUCUGGGCGAGAAUGAAAGUAACCGGCACAAUCAGGCUAUUCUGGGCAAACUCCAGAGGAAGCUGGAUGAAUAUUUUGAGAAGCUGAAGAAAGCCACCGACUACAAAAAGUCAGUGCAGAAGCCGCUACGGGCGUACAGCUGCUCAGUUAUAUACAGAUGGAAACCAGGUCCCCGUGUUUAUAAUUCAGCGUUGAAUUCAUAAUAAUGUCAUUCAUUUUGUUUUGUUAAAAAAAAAAAAUAAACUAUUUCGUAUGUU